GUCCUUCUGUGGUUCAAAAGCAUGGUGACCGAGUUUCACACCAUCGAGUGAGAUGUGCCUCCCUCAAACCCUGUUACAAACGUCAGCACAUAACCCAUCUGAUG
ensembl:snoRNA